rnacentral:rRNA from 1 species
GGCAGACGGGUGAGUAACACGUGGGAACGUGCCCUUCGGUUCGGAAUAACUCAGGGAAACUUGAGCUAAUACCGGGUACGCCCUUUUGGGGAAAGGUUUACUGCCGAAGGAUCGGCCCGCGUCUGAUUAGCUAGUUGGUGGGGUAAUGGCCUACCAAGGCGACGAUCAGUAGCUGGUCUGAGAGGAUGAUCAGCCACACUGGGACUGAGACACGGCCCAGACUCCUACGGGAGGCAGCAGUGGGGAAUCUUAGACAAUGGGCGCAAGCCUGAUCUAGCCAUGCCGCGUGGGUGAUGAAGGCCUUAGGGUCGUAAAGCCCUUUCGCCGGGGAAGAUAAUGACGGUACCCGGUAANAGAAACCCCGGUUAACCCCGUGCCAGCCGCCGCGG